GACGAACGCUGGCGGCGUGCCUAAUACAUGCAAGUCGAACGCUUCUUUCCUCCCGAGUGCUUGCACUCAAUUGGAAAGAGGAGUGGCGGACGGGUGAGUAACACGUGGGUAACCUACCCAUCAGAGGGGGAUAACACUUGGAAACAGGUGCUAAUACCGCAUAACAGUUUAUGCCGCAUGGCAUAAGAGUGAAAGGCGCUUUCGGGUGUCGCUGAUGGAUGGACCCGCGGUGCAUUAGCUAGUUGGUGAGGUAACGGCUCACCAAGGCCACGAUGCAUAGCCGACCUGAGAGGGUGAUCGGCCACACUGGGACUGGGACACGGCCCAGACUCCUACGGGAGGCAGCAGUAGGGAAUCUUCGGCAAUGGACGAAAGUCUGACCGAGCAACGCCGCGUGAGUGAAGAAGGUUUUCGGAUAGUAAAACUCUGUUGUUAGAGAAGAACAAGGACGUUAGUAACUGAACGUCCCCUGACGGUAUCUAACCAGAAAGCCACGGCUAACUACGUG
rnacentral:rRNA from 1 species